rnacentral:rRNA from 1 species
UUUAACGGCCGCGGUAUCCUAACCGUGCAAAGGUAGCGUAAUCACUUGUCCCUUAAAUAGGGACCAGUAUGAAUGGCUAAAUGAGGAUAAACCUGUCUCCUUUAACAAAUCAGUGAAACUGAUCUACCAGUACAAAAGCUGGUAUAAACACAUAAGACGAGAAGACCCUGUGGAGCUUUAAAUUUUAACCAAGUAACUAACGCAAGCUCAACCAAUGGCUAAAAAUUUUAAGUUGGGGCGACUUCGGAAAUAAACCAAACUUCCGAGCAUAAGAUCAACAUCUUACCAAGACCUACAAGUCAAAGCUAAAAUUGACCCAGUACCACUGACAACCGAACCAAGUUACCCCAGGGAUAACAGCGCAAUCUUCUUCAAGAGUCCAUAUCGACAAGAAGGUUUACGACCUCGAUGUUGGAUCAGGACACCCCAAUGGUGCAGCCGCUAUUAAANGUUC